GGCAAGAGGAUCAGCAUCUGCUCCUAUGGAUCAGCUGCGCGGACCCAAGUCCUUGGUGUUUGUUUACACAUAUUAUAAGCUGUCUGAGGGGUGCCAGCCUGUCCCGGUGUAACGCCACCCAGCGCCCCCUGCCAGGCAUCUGCACCCGGUAGACAACCUCUCCCAGCCGCUCCAGGACCAGACACGGUCCCACCCAGUGGCUUUCCAGCUUAGGGCACCUGCCUUUCUUCCAUUCAGGAGUGUAUGUCCACACCAGCUCCCCAGCCGCAAAGUGUCGGCCCUUGGCCCGGACGUCAUAAUUCCUCUUUUGUCGCACGCCCGCACUACGCAUGUGCAGAGUCCAAGCAGUCCUGCAGCCGCCUGGCGUAGUCCGGGCCUGUGAGUGGGAGAAGGCCCAGAACGUCUACCCCCAGCCGCUGCAUGGGCCCCCCCACUGGAAACUGCUGUAGCUGAGCCCUGGACUGGCCCUGUGGUCCUUUGCAGGCAGUGCAGAGAUCACAGCACCGACAAAAGUCUUCAACGUCUCUCCUCAGCCGCCCCAAAUAGAAGGCUUGACAGACCCGCAGGAGUGUAUUGGUCACCCCAAAGUGACCGGAGCCUGCAGAGCCAUGCAUGGCUUCGAGAACAGCCCCUGCAUCCCUCUGGGUACCACCGCCUGCCACUUUUUCUCUCCCGACCCUGGUUCCAACCAUGCCCGCUGAAGGACCCCAUCAGCCAGCUGCAAAGAAUUAGAUUUAGCCCACAGCCCUUUUGUCCAUGGGGAGAGAGCGGCCACCUCCUCGCAGGGCGGCCGCUGCCGCGCCUCCACCCACAGCAUCACUGGCUGCACGACCGGGUCUUGUUGCUGUUCCGCGGCCCAGAUAGCAUUGUCCACCACCAGCAGCUCUCUACAAGCCCCGACAGUCUUCACACUCCUCUCUGUCCUGCUUGUUUGGCCCCAGAACCAGCUGCUGUUCUCUGACCUUUCUGCGGUCACAAUACCGGCAGUCGUCUUCACUGCAGGGUCGACGGGACAGUGCGUCAGCGUUGCCAUGCCGUUCUCCAGCACGGUGAACCACGCUGAACUCGUAGCCUUGCAGCUCCUCCAGCCAACGAGCCAGCUGUCCCUCAGGCUCUUGGAAUGUCAUCAGCCACUGCAGUGAGGCAUAAUCAGUGCGUACAGUGAAGGGGCGGCCACACAGGUAGUACUUAAAAUGCAGUGCGGAAAAGACGACAGCAAGCAGCUCCCUACGUGUGACGCAAUACCGCCGCUCAGCUUUAUUCAGGGCUUUGCUGUAGUAGGCCACAACCCUCUCUCCUUCCGGCCAUGCCUGUGAUAGGACUGCCCCCACUGCAUCGCCGCUAGCGUCUGUGUCCAGAACAAAAGGCACUUCGGGGUCAGGGGCUGCAGAAGGACCAGCCCUGGACCCCUGCUCCCGCAAAAAGUCCAAGCCUAAAAUACAGGCAUCUUGUAAUUCCGCUACCCACACAGUGUGUCUCAUUUCCCCCAGUCAAUAUCAGCUGCCCUCUCCCUUUCAUUGGUGCUAGCUCACCAGUUACUGUGCGGAGCUGAACUGCUGUGUCCUCCA
ensembl:lncRNA